rnacentral:lncRNA from 1 species
AGAUACAGGCUAGCUAGCAAGCAUUCUCGCUAAAAAUUCUAAAAUGUUCGCAUACUUGACUAUUUGCUAACUUAGCCUACCUACGAACCUACCCGCAAGUUCAAUAUUGAGUUAUAUCUACACCCUCCAUUGAUGAUGAUUGUUGAGUUGCUGAAGUCCUGCGUUCCAUUACCUUUGUUAUUGAAUGAACUUGUUAUAGCACCCACUCUGC